UCAGCGAUUCCACAGCAAUCGCCCUAAUGACAACAGCCUCAUAAUAUCUCCCCUAAAUCCACAAUUUCAGCUGCCUACCUAGGAGCUGUGGAGAAGGUUCAGCUGGGAAGCCUGUAAGCCCCCUGCCCCUCUCCCAAGAUGCCGGCUACCCUGACACCCUCCAAGGAGCUUGGGUCUGCCUACUAGCCCUGGAAGGGCACUCAAACCUCGGAGGCUGCCCUAAAGAAGUAGAUAGGCCUGAAUAUUGCUUGUUCGCUCAUAUUGUAAAGAAAAAAAUAAUAAAACUUAUUCCUCUAAUGAAAGUAAUAACACAAACCUAAAACAAACCCCCAAAAGGCCCAUAGCAUGGAGAGAGCCCUCCCUCCCUCCAGCCACUGCAGCCCCCAGGCCAAGCAUGGGUAUUUAUUUCUAAGGUAUGUUGCUUUUAAGAAGAUGUAAUCAGCAUCUUGAGCCAGGCCUCCCUUUGUGAGGCUUCUGUAACUAUGGAAGUGUGAUUUGCGCAGAUUUGUCAGGGUCAGAGACGUCUUCCCCCUGAGCACUGUGUAUAUUUAGACAGGAUUCGGUUUGGUGUUAAAAAGUGUAUAUUUUGAAUGAGUUCACACACAGUAGCCAACAAUGCCCACAUUGUCGGCCCGUGUACAACGUGUAUUGAAACGCAGCGUCCAGACUUCAACUAAUCUGCCCUCAAUAAAGCUGAAAUAAUUAUCCUAA